UACGGAGGGUGCAAGCGUUAAUCGGAAUUACUGGGCGUAAAGCGCGCGUAGGCGGUCUGGUAAGUCGGGUGUGAAAGCCCCGGGCUCAACCUGGGAAUUGCAUUCGAUACUGCCGGACUAGAGUAUGGUAGAGGGAAGUGGAAUUCCGCAUGUAGCGGUGAAAUGCAUAGAGAUGCGGAGGAACACCAGUGGCGAAGGCGACUUUCUGGACCAAUACUGACGCUGAGGUGCGAAAGCGUGGGGAGCAAACAGG
rnacentral:rRNA from 1 species